GACGAACGCUGGCGGCGUGCUUAACACAUGCAAGUCGAGCGGUAAGGCCCUUUCGGGGGUACACGAGCGGCGAACGGGUGAGUAACACGUGGGUGACCUGCCCUCAGCUCUGGGAUAAGCCUGGGAAACUGGGUCUAAUACCGGAUAUGACUUCGCAUCGCAUGGUGUGGGGUGGAAAGUUUUUCGGCUGGGGAUGGGCCCGCGGCCUAUCAGCUUGUUGGUGGGGUGAUGGCCUACCAGGGCGACGACGGGUAGCCGGCCUGAGAGGGCGACCGGCCACACUGGGACUGAGACACGGCCCAGACUCCUACGGGAGGCAGCAGUGGGGAAUAUUGGACAAUGGGCGAAAGCCUGAUCCAGCGACGCCGCGUGUGUGAAGAAGGCCUGCGGGUUGUAAAGCACUUUCGAUGGGAACGAAAU
rnacentral:rRNA from 1 species